AUUGAACGCUGGCGGCAUGCUUUACACAUGCAAGUCGAGCGGCAGCGCGGGGGCAACCCUGGCGGCGAGCGGCGGACGGGUGAGUAAUAGAUAGGAACGCGUCCGGGAGUGGGGGAUAACUAGCCGAAAGGUUAGCUAAUACCGCAUAUUCUCUACGGAGGAAAGCAGGGGAACCGCGAGGUCCUUGCGCUCGCGGAGUGGCCUAUCUCCGAUUAGCUAGUUGGUGAGGUAAAGGCUUACCAAGGCGACGAUCGGUAGCUGGUCUGAGAGGAUGAUCAGCCACACUGGGGACUGAGAUACGGCCCAGACUCCUACGGGAGGCAGCAGUGGGGAAUUUUUGGACAAUGGGGGCAACCCUGAUCCAGCCAUGCCGCGUGCGGGAAGAAGGCCUUCGGGUUGUAAACCGGCUUUUAUCCGGAAAGAAGGGAGUGCAGGGCUAAUACCCUGCAUGACAGACGGCACCGGAGGAAUAAGCACCGGGCUAAACUACGUGCCAGCCAGCAGCCGC
rnacentral:rRNA from 1 species